GACGAACGCUGGCGGCGUGCUUAACACAUGCAAGUCGAACGAAGUGGCGAACGGGUGAGUAACGCGUAAUCAACCUGCCCUUCAGAGGGGACAACAGUUGGAAAAGACUGCUUAUACCGCAUACUGGAGGGGGGGAUUUCGGCUGAUUAGCUAGUUGGAGGGGUAACGGCCCACCAAGGCGAUGAUCAGUAGCCGGUCUGAGAGGAUGAACGGCCACAUUGGGACUGAGACACGGCCCAGACUCCUACGGGAGGCAGCAGUGGGGAAUAUUGGACAAUGGGCGAAAGCCUGAUCCAGCCAUGCCGCGUGUGUGAAGAAGGUCUUCGGAUUGUAAAGCACUUUAAGUUGGGAGGCGUUACCAACAGAAUAAGCACCGGCUAACUUCGUGCCAGCAGCCGCGGUAAUAC
rnacentral:rRNA from 1 species